AUUGAACGCUGGCGGCAGGCCUAACACAUGCAAGUCGAGCGAGCGGCGGACGGGUGAGUAAUGUCUGGGAAACUGACUGCUGGUGGGGGAUAACUACUGCAACCGGUAGCUGAUACUGCAUACCAUCACAUGUGCCCCGAGGGGAUUAGCUUGUAGGUGGGGUAACGGCUCACCUAGGCGACGAGCCCUAGCUGGUCUGAGAGGAUGACCAGCCACACUGGAACUGAGACACGGUCCAGACUCCUACGGGAGGCAGCAGUGGGGAAUAUUGCACAAUGGGCGCAAGCCUGAUACAGCCAUGCCGCGUGUGUGAAGAAGGCCGUCGGGUUGUAAAGCACUUUCAGCGGGGAGGCGUUACCCGCAGAAGAAGCACCGGCUAACUCCGUGCCAGCCGCCGCGGUAAUAC
rnacentral:rRNA from 1 species